AAAAAUUUGUUAGGUUAACGUUUCUACAAAAAAAAAAAAAGAGUCAAAGAACGAUUCGAGAGGGGAAAUUUAGUUUUUUUUCCUUCACGAUCCAUCGAAAUGGCUUAUAAGUCCUUUCACGAGUCACAAAGAUGAUAUCCAUGGCGAAAUCGUAUUAAAAAGAUGUUAGGAAUCAAUGGUCAAUUGGGAAUUUCUGGGAUGUAAUAACAUUUGUGUCGGGUUAAACUAAUUUCGACAGAGAAGGCCAACCAAAUCACUUCUAAGAAGAUUCAAAUCAGAGUAAGGUCUCCAGCAAAGCAAAGUGUUUUUAUUACUCUGUUCUUUUUAGCAAUGUCGGGUAUAGAUUUGAGCGAAGCUACUCUCUGUUUCAUGUCGUCUAUAUUAUUUUGUUUAGGAUAUCCUAUUUGAAGCUGCUUAUGUCUGUGUUUAUGGUUUUGUUUUGAAUUAGUGUUUAUGUGGGUAUUGGUUACUAUUGAGUUCUGUUUUCUCAUGUAUUCUAUGUUAUCAAUGUUUAUGCUUACCUUUGAUUGAUUGUGCAAUUACAGUUUUCUGAGUUAAAAUAGUUUCAUUUUAGGUUUAUUAUCUUCAAGGAAUACCACUUGUUUCUCUGUAUUGGGUCGCUUAAAAGCUGAUGGCUGAGACUUAAUUAAUUUCAGACUAUAGUUUGUCUUAGACUCGAAGCUGGUUAGUCUGACAACUUUAUUUUUGAAUAUGUCAGUUAGAAUGAUAUUACUUAUCUAUAUUCUUUAGUAUCAGCUUUUGUGUUUACGUUGAUGAAUUACAUAGGAUGGUGCAUUUCAUAUAAAUGUACUAACUAUAAGUUUUUUAAAAUGAUUUCACUGUUGUUCAUGAGAUCCAAGGAAAAGAGAGAAAGGCUCAGAGGCGAUGAUACAUAGCGAGACCAAAGUAGUAAUACACAUGUGUUUGAUCAUUAUCAUACCGUCAAGGAGAUAAAAAGAAAACUGACCUGAGAUACUCAGCCUGCAAUUUCAAGAAAACAACACACUUACUGAACAACAGCAACAACACAAGAUACUGGAAUUGUGGUGAUACGAAAGAUGAAUCCCAUUUCAUCGUUAGAGAGAUACAACUGUAAUUAUUGGGUCAAACAAAUGUCAAUGGGCUUGUCCGAUCAUUAUGUAUUAUGGCGUGAAAGCCUUUUCUAAAAAUUAGUGAAUGUAUAGGGUUAAUAUCAGCGGCAUGGAAAUAUAAUUAUUUAGAAAAAAUCAGGGUUACGAACUUCUGUUUUAAUAAUUUAGAUUGUAGAGUAAAACGUGACAUUUACUCCAAUUAUCGA